rnacentral:rRNA from 1 species
CCUACGGGUGGCUGCAGUGGGGAAUAUUGCUCAAUGGGGGAAACCCUGAUGCAGCGACGCCGCGUGAAGGAAGAAGUAUUUCGGUAUGUAAACUUUUAUUAGCAGGGAAGAAAAUGACGGUACCUGACUAAGAAGCCCCGGUUAACUACGGGCAAGCAGCCGCGGUACUCGGUCGGGGGCCAGCGUUAUCCGGAUUUACUGGGUGUAAAGGGGGCUUAGGUGGUUUAGCAAGGUCGAAGUGAAAGCCCGGGGCUCAACUCCGGGACUGCUUUUGAAACUGUUGAACUAGAUUGCAGGAGAGGUAAGUGGAAUUCCUGGUGUAGCGGUGAAAUGCGUAGAUAUUAGGAGGAACACCAGUGGCGAAGGCGGCUUACUGGACUGUAAAUGACGCUGAGGCUCGAAAGCGUGGGGAGCAAACAGGAUUAGAUACCCGUGUAGUC